CGCGUAGGCGGUCUGCUAAGUUGGAUGUGAAAACUCUGGGCUUAACCCCAGAGCCUGCAUUCAAUACUGACAGGCUAGAGUUCUGGAGGGGAUAGCGGAAUUCCUGGUGUAGCGGUGAAAUGCGUAGAUAUCAGGAGGAACACCGGUGGCGAAGGCGGCUAUCUGGACAGAAACUGACGCUGAGGCGCGAAAGCUAGGGAGCAAACA
rnacentral:rRNA from 1 species